UACUUGUUCCGCCCUAGCAGCACGUAAAUAUUGGUGUAGUAAAGAUAAUCUUAACCCCAAUAUUGUUGUGCUGCUUAAGCGUGGCAGGGAUU
ensembl:miRNA aca-mir-16a aca-mir-16a